CGUGAGGCAGCUGAGCAUUAGCCAUCAGGUUGGGAGGCAAGUUGUAGAUAGGCAUUCCCCCCGAUUCCCCCAGGCUUGCACCACCGUGGUGAGGAGAACCCCCGCCGCCGCCGCCGGCCCCCGGACUCACACCAGCACCGCCUUGCCCCAACUGCAUUCCCUCCGAGCAACCGCCGCCGCCGCCGGCGGAAUCAGCCGGCCCAUCCUCCUCGAUGGGCAGCCGUUCAUAGGUGACGUUACCAAAUGUGGCGGCGAUCACCAUCACGGGCCCUGCCGCCAUGAGAGCCCCCACCACGCUCCCUCCCACCACCUGCCCCUGCCCGCCGGCGAGGUAAACUGUCAGCCCCGUCGCCCCCGGCGGCGACGGCGAGGGGAGAAAAGCCCCCGAGAGAGAGAGGAUCUCGAAGCGCCCGUGUAAGGGCACCACCGCCCCCGCAGGAGCCGCCGGCUGACGCAGCGUGACGUUCGCCACCACCCCGUUGCCGCUCAGUACGCAGACACCGCGUUGCCGGCGGCGGACG
rnacentral:lncRNA from 1 species